GACGAUCGCUGGCGGCGUGCUUAACACAUGCAAGUCGAACGCUGAAGCCCUGGCUUUUGUUGGGUUGGAUGAGUGGCGAACGGGUGAGUAACACGUGAGUAACCUGCCCUCUUCUUUGGGAUAACGCCCGGAAACGGGUGCUAAUACUGGAUAUUCACUGGCCUUCGCAUGGGGGUUGGUGGAAAGGUUUGUUCUGGUGGGGGAUGGGCUCGCGGCCUAUCAGCUUGUUGGUGGGGUGAUGGCCUACCAAGGCUUUGACGGGUAGCCGGCCUGAGAGGGUGACCGGUCACAUUGGGACUGAGAUACGGCCCAGACUCCUACGGGAGGCAGCAGUGGGGAAUAUUGCACAAUGGGCGAAAGCCUGAGGCAGCGACGCCGCGUGAGGGAUGGAGGCCUUCGGGUUGUAAACCUCUUUCGCUCAUGGUCAAGCCGCAACUGUGGGUUGUGGUGAGGGUAGUGGGUAAAGAAGCGCCGGCUAACUACGUG
rnacentral:rRNA from 1 species